AUCAAAAAAAGACGGGAAUAAAAACAGAUUGUUGGAUAUGAUGUUGUGACCAUCACUGAAUCGUGGCUGAAGGAUGGUUGGAGUUGGGAGCUGAAUGUCCAAGGUUACUCGUUAUAUCGGAGGGACAGGAAGAGAGAGAGUCAGCCCGAG